rnacentral:rRNA from 1 species
UACGUAGGGGGCGAGCGUUGUCCGGAGUUACUGGGCGUAAAGCGUCCGCAGGCGGUUCGACGCGUUUCCGGUGCCAGCCCGUUGCUUAACGACGGGAGUGCCGGGAAGACGGUCGGACUGGAGGGCCUCAGAGGGACAUAGAAUCCGGGUGGAGUGGUGAAAUGCGUAGAGAUCCGGAGGAAUACCAAUGGCGCAGGCAGUGUCCUGGGGAGGCAACUGACGCUGAGGGGAC